GGGCUUGUGGUCUAGUGGUAUGAUUCUUCCUUAGCAUGGAUUUUGAGCGGGCGCGACCCUUUCAUCAAUCUGUACUUUCCCAACUUGGAAGAGGUCCGGGGUUCAAUUCCCCGCGAGUCCA